ensembl:lncRNA
UUGUGGAUGGUGUUUUGCGGAUAGUGUUUAUGCUUUGUUGCAUUAAAUUGGACUAGUGCUUUGCUGGGGCACCAUGUCUUGUGUAAUUUACUCUGUAGGAAAUUCAUAUUUUACCUUUUUCUUCUUCCAUCGGGGGGUUUCAAAGAACAGACACGAGAAGGGAGGGGAAGUGAGGAGCUUCAGACACAAAUGAGCUCAUUGAGAUAAAUGAGAAGAAGAGAAAUGGAGAGAAAAUGGGUAGAUGAGAGCAAAGGGAAGCUUUGAAAACAGACAAUGCGCAUGAACCGUGAAAACUGAAUCAUGGGAUCGCUCAACUAAGUCUGAGGCAGACCAGCACUCCAGAACCAACCGAGAGGCCUGAUGGGACUUGGCUACUAGUGGCCCCUACUGGACAUGGGACUGCUUUCCUUGUGUUUGAUGUGACUGGUGGUCGCCCAUGUCCCAUUUUCCUGUGCAUGUACAGGAAUUUGUUCAUGUGCAGGGAAGUCCACCAUUCAUUUACACACUUCAGACAAUUUACAGUCACCAAUCCACCUAGUGUCUACAUUGAGAGAGCAUCCAAACAACACACACACAAAGUGGGAGCCAGAUUUGAACUUUUGGAAGUGUGAGGCCACCUCACUAAAACAUUUUGCCAUAAGUUACAGUAUUGUUACUAUAGUACAAUAAAUGACCAAAAGUAAACAGAACGAUUCUUCAAGGUAAAUAUAAGGAUAUAGGUGGAAAAGGAGUUAAAGUCCAGAUUUAUAUCAGCCAAAGCAAUUUCUGAAAGAAGUCAAGAAAUCUCUGUUUGCUGUUUCAGUGUUGUUUUUUAAUAUGAAAACCCUGGCAGGGAAAUGAACUCUUGUCACCUGCCUUCUACAGGACAGUGUCCUCCCACAACCUCUGCCUUUUGAGCAGCAGGAGAUAAGCAUGGUUUAAAGAAGGUACAGACCAUAUACUUCCUUACCUUGGGGGCAAAAUUAGUUAAAUGUCACUUACGUCUAUGGUAUAACACAUUCAUCUAUCAAGGAGACAACCACAAAUUUACAGGUUCAAACCCCAC